UGAGUACGAGAUGCUACGGCAUCGAAGCAGUCUAUGUCAUACUUCCAAGAAAAGCUUGCAAUGUCAUAAACAAAUAAUGCCUGUACCAUAACCGACACAGGUGGGUAGGUAGAGUAUACUAAGGGGCGCGAGAUAACUCUCUCUAAGGAACUCGGCAAAAUGACUCCGUAACUUCGGGAGAAGGAGUGCCUUAUUUUUAUAAGGUUGCAAUAACAAGAUCCAAGCAACUGUUUACCAAAAACACAGGUCUCCGCUAAGUCGUAAGACGAUGUAUGGGGGCUGACGCCUGCCCAGUGCCAGAAGGUUAAAGAAGUUGGUUAGCAUUAGCGAAGCUGAUAACUGAAGCCCUGGUGAACGGCGGCCGUAACAAUAACGGUCCUAAGGUAGCGAAAUUCCUUGUCGGGUAAGUUCCGACCCGCACGAAAGGCGUAAUGAUUUGGAUACUGUCUCGGAGAGGGGCUCGGUGAAAUAGACUUGUCUGUGAAGAUGCGGACUACCUGCACCUGGACAGAAAGACCCUAUGAAGCUUUACUGUAACUUGAGAUUGAAAUUGGACUUUAUCUGCGCAGUAUAGGUGGGAGACGUUGAAAAUAUUCUUGCGGGAAUAUUGGAGUCAUCAGUGAGAUACCACUCUUAUAAUGUUAGAUUUCUAACUUUGUAUCAUUAUCUGGUCAAAGAACAGUUUCAGGCGGGCAGUUUGACUGGGGCGGUCGCCUCCCAAACGGUAACGGAGGCGCACAAAGGUUUCCUCUGAACGUGUAGAAAUCGUAUCUAGAGUGUAAAGGCAUAAGGAAGCUUGACUGUGAGACCUACAAGUCGAGCAGGGACGAAAGUCGGUCUUAGUGAUCUGACGGUGCUGAGUGGAAAGGCCGUCACUCAACGGAUAAAAGUUACUCUAAGGAUAACAGGCUGAUCUCCCCCAAGAGUUCACAUCGACGGGGAGGUUUGGCACCUCGAUGUCGGCUCAUCGCAUCCUGGGGCGGUAGUACGUCCCAAGGGUUGGGCUGUUCGCCCAUGAAAGCGGUACGCGAGCUGGGUUCAGAACGUCGUGAGACAGUUCGGUCCAUAUCCGGUGUAGGCGUUAGAAUAUUGAGAGGAGCCUUCUUUAGUACGAGAGGACCGAGAAGGACAUACCUCUGGUGUACCAGUUAUCGUGCCAACGGUAAACGCUGGGUAGCCAUGUAUGGAGAGGAUAACCGCUGAAAGCAUCUAAGUGGGAAGCCCACCUCAAGAUAAGUAUUC
rnacentral:rRNA from 1 species